rnacentral:rRNA from 1 species
CCCUUAGAUGUUCUGGGCUGCACGCGCGCUACACUGAAGCGUUCAACGAGUAUUCACCUUGCCCGGGAGGGUUGGGUAAUCUUUUCAAAACGCUUCGUGAUGGGGAUAGAUUAUUGCAAUUAUUAAUCUUCAACGAGGAAUUCCUAGUAAGCGCGAGUCAUCAGCUCGUGCUGAUUACGUCCCUGCCCUUUGUACACACCGCCCGUCGCACCUACCGAUUGAAUGGUCCGGUGAAAUCUUGGGAUUUUGUUUUGUUUGCAUUUAUUUGUAUCGAGACGAGAGAACUUGAGUAAACCUUACCAUUUAGAGGAAGGUGAAGUCGUAACA